CUGGGAUACCGAGUCCAAAAGGCUUGUGCUACAGGAAGUUCUAAAACAAAACAAAACAAACCUGGAAGACUCCAUCAUAGUUCCAAUAUAGAAAACGACUGUAUCCUUUGGAACAUAGCCUGUGUUUCUAUUCUGAUAGGAUGUUUUUUAAAAAAGGAUACCUUCUUUUCUGAAAAUCGUAUAUGCUCCAGCAAGGAGGGGAUCUUGAUUUUGAUUACUGAAAGACAUGAAAGAAAAUCUGCCAAAAUCUGCCACUGGCAAUUUUUUUUUAUUUUUUUUUUUUGGUGACUGGUUGACUGGUUUUCAGUUUCAGCCAGCUCUGCUCUCCUGUAAAGCCAGUGGACCCAAACAGGCCUGUGUGACUACACCGAAUCCUCCAGUCUUCAGGGAGGCUGCCUUUCAUGCAUACCUUGAGGUGGUACUGCUGCUGAAAGAGGAUGCUUGCUUGAUGGAAAUAGCAGACCUGAGGGCCUGUGCUGAAUGGGUAUUGCUCAUUGCUUUACCAGCUGUGAUGAUGCCCUCAGAAGUUCCAGUGCCUUCAGGUAUAAAGGUGUUACUGGACUGAGCUCCACAGAGAAGAACUUAAUCAGAAGGGAGGAGAUGCAGCAAGAGCUCUUCUCGAAUGGUCAUCUGGAAAGGCUUGGGCACAGUCACUUUUGGUGACCAUGCCUUCUGCUUCUUCCGCAUCGUUCUGAAGACCGGCGAGUUUGGAAAGGGGGAGAGUAACAUUUUCCAGCUGCAGCAAAAAACUGCUGUAUUUACUGGUGUCUGCAAAGCACUUGAGAACCUUCAGCAUUCUGAAGUCAAGUCACUAGGUGCUGUAUGAAUGCUGCUUUAGCCAUUUCUGUAACGCGCUGUGCCGUGAGCGGGAUCUGCACAAGCUUCAGUUCAAACAGCGCUGGGCAGCCCGCCCUUGUGCUGGAGAAAUCCCAGCCCUUCACAAUGUAAAGACACCCGUGAAAAAACGACGCCGCUGGACACGGCGCGUUGGAGUCGUGUCCACAAUUGGAAGCUUGAAGCGAUGGGCAAGCCCUCACCAGAGCUGGCACCCACACUGGC